rnacentral:rRNA from 1 species
GUAAAGCACUUUUGGCAGGGAAGAAAAGGCUCUGGCUAAUACCCAGAGCUGCUGACGGUACCUGCAGAAUAAGCACCGGCUAACUACGUGCCAGCAGCCGCGGUAAUACGUAGGGUGCAAGCGUUAAUCGGAAUUACUGGGCGUAAAGCGUGCGCAGGCGGUUUGGCAAGAAGGAUGUGAAAUCCCGGGGCUUAACCUCGGAACUGCAUUCUUAACUGCCAGGCUGGAGUAUGUCAGAGGGGGGUAGAAUUCCGCGUGUAGCAGUGAAAUGCGUAGAGAUGCGGAGGAAUACCGAUGGCGAAGGCAGCCCCCUGGGAUAAUACUGACGCUCAUGCACGAAAGCGUGGGGAGCAAACAGGAUUAGAUACCCUGGUAGUCCACGCCCUAAACGAUGUCAACUAGCUGUUGGGGCCUUCGGGCCUUAGUAGCGCAGCUAACGCGUGAAGUUGACCGCCUGGGGAGUACGGUCGCAAGAUUAAAACUCAAAGGAAUUGACGGGGACCCGCACAAGCGGUGGAUGAUGUGGAUUAAUUCGAUGCAACGCGAAAAACCUUACCUACCCUUGACAUGUCUGGAAUCCUGAAGAGAUUCAGGAGUGCUCGCAAGAGAACCGGAACACA